AUUGAACGCUGGCGGCAGGCCUAACACAUGCAAGUCGAGCGGAUGAAGGGAGCUUGCUCCUGGAUUCAGCGGCGGACGGGUGAGUAAUGCCUAGGAAUCUGCCUGGUAGUGGGGGAUAACGUCCGGAAACGGGCGCUAAUACCGCAUACGUCCUGAGGGAGAAAGUGGGGGAUCUUCGGACCUCACGCUAUCAGAUGAGCCUAGGUCGGAUUAGCUAGUUGGUGGGGUAAAGGCCUACCAAGGCGACGAUCCGUAACUGGUCUGAGAGGAUGAUCAGUCACACUGGAACUGAGACACGGUCCAGACUCCUACGGGAGGCAGCAGUGGGGAAUAUUGGACAAUGGGCGAAAGCCUGAUCCAGCCAUGCCGCGUGUGUAAAGAAGGUCUUCGAAUUGUAAAGCACUUUAAGUUGGGAGGAAGGGCAGUAAGUUAAUACCUUGCUGUUUUGACGUUACCAACAGAAUAAGCACCGGCUAACUUCGUG
rnacentral:rRNA from 1 species